AAAUCGGACGGGAAGGAGCGGAUUCGAUGAAGAAGACAAAGACAAUCCGUUGAGAGUCGGCAGUUUGUUUGCCGAUACGAUUCUUCAGCAACGACAUAGAUCAAAGAGAUUAGGAAAAGUCUACACAACAAAAUUCGACUGGUACAUCCCGCAACAUGCGUGCGAUUUCUUUGAACUCGAGGUGCGCGAUAUUACGUCGACAACGUGACCCGAACGAUGUCAUGCGAGGGUUGUUCGGCCCCAAGUCCCGAAGGAAUUUGUCUGUCGCACUUAUUUUGCACGCCGAUAAAAGGACCAAACGAGAGGGAUUUCUGACCUGGUUGAAACACAUCUUCAAUAAACCCGCAGAAGAUGGAAUCCACGAGGCUGCCACGAUCAUCGAUCGUGCGGCGGCGGCGGCGGCGGCGGCGGCGGC